rnacentral:lncRNA from 1 species
CGGCCGCUCAGAGCGCUCCAGGCUGGGUUCCCGGGCCCCGCCGCGCCGCCUCCUUCCCAGCUCGCCCGCCCAGGCCUGGCCUCCUGCUUUUCCAUUUGAUUCCCUGCCUCUUUCUAUUCGGACUGGAAUGCCGGGCCAGGCUCCGGGGCGCGCCGCUGCGGCAGCCGCACCUCGCAGGUCCCCCGGCCGACCCCGACGCGGAAGCGGCGGCCCUCCUCGCCGUCGGGGAGCCAGGGAGCCGGGGACGAUCAGUCACAUAAGGCUUAGAGGAUCAAGGAUCCUGCCCAGAUGACUUACCGAAAUGUUACAGAUUAAGUUGGUGUGGUAACCUGGGCUGAGCACUCUGGGAGAGGAAGAGAAGAGAGAAGACAGGAAACAACUGAACUAUGACCAAUCCCAGCACGGAGGCCCAGAAAACUUUAAGAUUUGAGUAUUAAUGUCUCAAGGUCAGGAGCAACCUCAAGGCUAAAACUCAGAUCUCAGGACUCAAUUUCACAGAAGUUCCACUAUAAAGGCAAUAAUCUAAAGCUUUAAAUGAUAUGAAAAUUUUGUAAUAAGAGUUCAGUAUUUCUGCCAACAUUGGCGCAUGGAUUGCAAAGUUCACAGGAUUGAAAACACCAUCGACAUAAUGGAAAUUGAACAGCAUCUGAUUACUGAGUGCUAUAUCAGCAAGUUAAAAGGAUCUUUUGCAUACCUUUUAAUGGUAUAUAUCCUAAAACUGAAGUGUUCAAUAUAGACAUCCAGAUUGAAACUCAGGCAGUGAAUUACAUACACAACAAAUCAGUUGAACAUGGCAGAGCUUGUCAGACUUAUGAAAGAUUAAAUACAUUUUACAUUUCCACAAGUGUGGUAUUCACAGGUCUAAAUUGGAAAAUUCUUGGGUUGAAGAAGAAUAAUCAUAAUCUUAGCUUCACUCAUUGAGGAAACAUUAUUCAGGGAUGAUAAGAGGUAAAAUCUUAAAAAUAUUGACAAGCUAAUGAGAGAACUUUGAGGUAAGCUGAUAUGCAGGUAUAGUUAGGACUGGGAAAAGCAAGAAAAUGGAAGGAUGGGUUAGAGGGUGGCACUACACGGCUGAUAUAGUUUGGAUAUCUGUCCCCAUCCAAAUCUCAUGUUAAAUUGGAAUCCCCAAUUCUGGAGGCAGAGCUAGAAGGCAGAGCCUGGUGGAAGGUGUUUGCAACAUGAGGAAGGAUCCCUCAUGGCUUGGUGCUGUCUUAACAAUAAUGAGUGAGUUCUCCCGAGAUCUAGUCAUUUAAAAGGGUGUGGCACCUCCCCCCCCCCCCGCCCCCGCCAACUCUCUCUUGCUCCUACUCUGCCAUAUGAAUGUUUGUUCCCCCUUUGCCUUCAGCCAUGAUUAGAAGCUUCAUUAGGACUCCUCAGAAGUAGAUGUUGGUGCCAUACUUCCUGUAUAGCCUGUAGUACCAUGAACCUCUUCGCUUUAUAAAUUACCUGGUCUUGGGGAUUUCUUUAUAGCAAUGCAAGAAUGACCUAAUACAGAAAACUGGUACUGAGAAGUGAGUCAUUGCUGUAGAGAUACCUGAAAAUGUGGAAGCAGCUUUGGAACUUGGUGACAGGCAGAAGUUGGAAGAGUUUGUAGGGCUCAGAAGAAGACAGAAAGAUGAGGGAAAGUUUGGAAUUUCUUAGGGACUGGUUAAAUGGUUGUGACCAAAAUGCUGAUAGCUAGGACAUGAACAGAAUGCACCCAAGCACUUUGCUAAGGCAAAACAUGCGUGACCUUUGCUCUAGUUCCCAAUAAUUUCCUUAUUUCCAUUCGAGACCUCAGAAGCCUGGACUUCAAACCAAAAUGCUGAUAGUGAUGUGAACAGUGAAGUCCAGGCUGCUGAGGCCUCAGAUGGAAAUUAGGAACUUACUGGGAACUAGAGCAAAGGUCACACAAUGUUAACGCCUUAGCAAAGAGCUUAGCUGCCUUCUGUUCAUGCCCUAGGAAUCUGUGGAAGUUUGAACUUGAGAGUGAUGAUUUAGGGUAUCUGGCAGAAGAAAUGUCUAAGCAGCAAAGUGAUCAAGAAGUGGUGUGGCUGCUUCUAGCCACUUAUAUUCAGAUGUGGGAGCAAAGACAAAAGGUAGAACUUAUAUUUAAAAGGGAAGCAGAGCAAAAAAAGUUUGGAAAAUUUGCAGCCUGGCCAUGUGGCAGAGAAAGAAAAAAGCUUUUUCAGUAGAGGAAUUCAAGCAGACUGUGGAACAAUUACUUGCUAGAGAUGUUUGCAGGAUUAAAGGGGAGCCAAGUGCUACUAUCCAAGACAAUAGGGAAAAAGCCUUGAAAGCAUUUCAAAGAACUUCAGAGUGGCUUCUCCCAUCACAGGCCCAGAAGCUUAGGAGGAGAGAAUAGAUUCAUGGACUGGGCCCAGGGCCAUGGUACCUUGCACAGCCUUGGGACACUGCUCACCACAUCCUAGCUGCUCCUGUUCCCACUCUUGCCAUGGCUCAAAGGGGCCUACAUACAGCUUGGACUGCCACUUUGGAGAAUGCAAACAGUAAACCUUGGUAGCUUUCAUGUGGUGUUAAGCCUGCAGGCACACAAAGUGCAAGAAUCGUGGAUUCUUGGCAGCCUCUGCCUAGAUUUCAGAGGACAUAUGGAAAAGUCUGUUUGUCCAGGCAGAAGCCUGUUACAGGGGUGGAGCCCUUACAAAGAACCUCUACUAGGGCAGUAUAGAGGGGAAAUGUGGGGUUGGAGGCUCCAACAGGGUCACCGCUGGGGCACUGCCUAAUGGAACUAUACGAAGUGGGCCACUGCCCUCCAGACCUAAGGAUGAUAGAUCUACCAGCAGCUUGUAUUCUGCACCUGGAAAAGCCACAGGCACUCAACUGCAGCCCAUGAGCGCAGCCUUGGAUUCUUUACCCUGCAAAGCCAUAGGGGCAGGACUGCUCAAGGCCUGGGGAGCCCACCCCUUGUACCAGUGUGGCCUGGAUGUGGAACAUGAUGUCGAAGAUUAUUUUGGAACUUUAAGAUUUAGUGACUUCCCUACUGGGUUUUGGAGCUGUGUGGAUCCUGUAGACCCUUUCUUUUGGCCAAUUUCCCCCUUUUUGGGAUGGAAACAUUUACCCAAUCCCUAUACCCCCAUUGUAUCUUGGAAGUAAAUAAUUUGUUUUUGAUUUUACAGGCUUAUAGGUGAAAGUGACUUCCCUUGUCUCCAAUGAGGCUUUGGACUUUGGACUUUUGAGUUAAUGCCAGAAUGAGUUAAGAUUUUGGGGGCCUAUUGGAAAGGCAUGAUUGUAGUUUGCAAUGUGAGAAGGACAUGAGAUUUGGAGAGGCCAGAGGUGGAAUGGUAUAGUUCAGAUAUUUGACCCAGCCCAAAUCUCUUGUUGAAUUGUAAUCCCCAAUGCUGGAGGUGGGGCCUUCCUUGUAUGAUGUGUUUGGAACAUGCAGGCAAAUUCCUCAUGGCUUGGUGCUGUUUUCAUGAUAGUGAGUGAGUUCUCCUGAGAUGUGGUCAUUUAAAAGUGUAUGGCACCUCCCCCCACUCUCUAUCUCUCUUGCUCCUGCUCUGCUAUAUGAGACACCUGUUCCCCGUUUGCCUUCCACCAUGAUUGAAAGCUUUGUGAGACCUCCUCAGAAGCCAAGCAGAUGCCAGUGCCAUGCUGCCUGUAUAGCCUGCAGAACCACAAGCCAAGUAAACCUCUUUUCUUUAUAAAUUACUUAGUCUCAGAUAUUUCUUUACAGCAAUGUAAGAAUGGCCUAAUACAAUAGCCUAAACUAAUUUGAGGGAGGUGAUGUGUCUCUUGCUACACAAAGUAUGGUUCAUGGACUAACAGCAUUGGCGUCACCAGGAGGUUGUCAGAAGUACAGACUUUCAGUUCCCUUCCCAGACCUAAUAAAUCAGACUCUCCAAAAAGUUUUGGGAGCACUGCUCCAGCCAAUGACUUGUGGUAGAAUUCUGUUUUUGCCUCAACAGCAUCCAUUCUCCUUUCAGUAACAACUCCUAGCUUCUACUUUGGGGAACUUUCCAUCUCCCACACUCAGACCUAGGGUUCAGAUGUGGCUAACCUAGCCCUGUGCAGCCAGAGGAAGGCACAUGAUCCAGGCCUGGCCAAUGACAGUGCCUUAUGACCCAGCCAGAGUGACUGGUUCAGCAAAGAGGGUGUAAUAUGAGCUGAGCCAAUGAGACUUAGUCCUGGUACUUUUGGGAAAGAAAUGCUCCCCUUCCUGAGUUUGCUGAGCUGAUAAGAUAUUCAUCUACAGCAGCCAUCUUUCCACUACCUGAGAAUGAAGCCAACAUAGGAAAAUGGAGCUGAGAAAUGAGAGAGAUCCUAACAAAUUCAUUUAUCCACUCACUACCGGAUCUAAAUCCUGGGCUUUUUAGUAACUCAAGCCAGUAUAGUCUUCAUUUCUUUGGCCAGUUCAAACUGGAUGUCUACUAGUUACAACUGAAAGAAUCCUAAUACAUCAGUCUCUUCCUGUCCCUGAAAUUCAUUAGGCUCAUUUUGAAUCUUUGAUAUUUCCUUUUCCUCUCUUCUUUGUCUGUGUUUAAUCCAUUUUGCAUUGCUGUAAAGGAAUACCUGAGACUCGGUAAUUUAUAAAGAAAAGAGAUUUAUUUGGCGCACAGUUCUGCAGGCUACACAAGCAUGGCACCAGCAUCUGCUCAGCUUCUGGUGAGGCCACAAGAAGCUUUAACUCAUGGCGGAAGGCGGAGGGAGAGCAGGUGUGUCAUAUGGCGAGAGAGGGAGCAAGAGAGAGGGGAGGGAGACUUCUCUUUUUUUGGCAAUCAGAUCUCGUGGUAACUAAUAAAGCAAAAAUUAAUUCAUUACUGUGGCAAGGACACCAAGCCAUUCCAAAAAGAUUCACCCCCAUGACCCAAACACCUCCCACCAGGUCCCACCUCCAGUGUUGGAGAUCGCAUGGGAGACAAAUAUCCAAACUAUAUCACUCCUCUCUAAACCAGUUUAGAGGGUUCAAACUUUGCCUUCUCCAGAUUUGCCUCUUCCCUGAGACCUUCCCUGAUAGCUUCCCACACAUACUGCUCUCCCCAGUCCAUCAAUGAAUUCCUGCAUCCAGGUGGCUAAUGGUUCCAUACUUACCCUUCAGCUGUGACCAGUUUUGUGUCCACCUCUGUCUUCCUCCCUCUUUUUGCUUAGAUGACACCCACUCAACCUCUAGAUGUCCCCUGCUACAGGUGGGAUGCCCUUGUUAUAUGUUCUUAUAGCACCACCUGUCUUCCCUUCAUGGCACUUAUAUUUGUAAAUGUAUUCAUGCCAUAGAGUACUGCAUGAAGGCAGUCGAGUGGGUGGUUCAAACGUAGACCCUGGUGUCAGCCUGCCUGGACUAGCUAUAUGACCUUGGGCAAGUUUCUUAACCUCUCUAUACCUCAAUUUCCUUACUUAUCAGGUGAAGAUAUUAAGAGUACCUCCUCAGAGUGUGAUUUUGUUAAUUUAUGUAAAGUACUGAGAACAUGCCUGGCAUGUAAUAGGCACUGUAUAAGUGAUAUCUAUUAUUAUUGUACAUGGGAUUAUUUGAUGUCUGUAUCCCAUCCCCCAUCAGACAUGAAAAAAUAGGUCUGCUUUUGAUCACCAUUUUACACUUAAAGAAAAGGGUCAGGCUGGGCAUGGUGGCUCACACUUGUAAUUCCAGCCCUUUGGGAGGCUGAGGCAGGUGGAUUGCUUGAGCCUAGGAGGGAGGGAGGGAAAGAAAGGAAGAAAGAAAGAGAGAGAGGGGGAGAGAGAGAGAGAAAGAAAGAAAGAAAAGAAAUAAAAGAAAGAAAGAGGAAA